GUUUCUUUCUGUCCUGGCAAGUUCAUUUGUAUUGCUCUUUGGUAAAAGUAGCGGACAGAUCCAAUACCAGAGUUACCCUGGUCAACAGAACUAUCUGACCCAACAGUCCGAGUCUCUAACUUGUAAUGACCUGCAGUGUAAAGUGGACGAAUGCUGUAUAGAGACUUACAGAUCUGCCCAAUGUGUGGCUCUUGUAACAAUUGCAAGUGGACAAGCGUUCUGUACACGAUUGAAGAAAUGUUACAGAAACUCAGACUGUCCCACUGUAGCCCCGUGCUGUGUCCAGGCCUUAGACUCUACCUUCGCCAAAACGAAUUUGAAAGCUCAAUCCUACUAUGACAGCAUAAAUGCUCUUUCUAAUGGUAACAUCUAUGGCAACAGCUACGGCAGCAUCUAUGGUAACAGCUAUAGUAACAGCUAUGGUAGUAGCUAUUUUUUUGGCAAGCCGAAUGACAUUUCCACUGAGUCAUUAAAUUUGAAAGAAGGAUAUUGCUUAGCUGCGGCAAG